CGCAGGCGAUAUAAACCUCCUCCUUCCUCGGUGGUCGCUUUCCUGGACCCCCCUAAGCUUGUGUCGUGUCUCACUCGUUUUGUUUUUAUAGGCCUAGUUCAUUUAAAUCCUUACAGCUAGCUUGCCCAAUUAUGGCCAGUGCUGCUGCAGCCUUUACAACAGGUGAUGCUGGUAAACAUUUUGAUGUCGGUGCAGAGUGAAAGUGUGCCAUGUCAGGAGCGUCCAAACCACUAUUGUCUCCCUGAGUUAUUGAAGAAACAAUCAGCUCCUGUUCGAGGCAGAGAAAUGAGGAGGAAAUCUAUAGCUAUGUGAAAGAGGCGCUCAGACGGUUCCUUCAAAGACUGAAUAGCCCGACAGGCUGGACGGCUAGACAACAACUUUCAACUUGACCUUGGCCUCCAGCCGCGUCUACCUCCUAUGUAAAAAACCGCACGCACUGCCAAG